GAAAUGUAAAUAAGAUACAAUUGUUGUAAUUGACACUUUUUACAUUUUUUUUAUUUAUUUGGACCAUCUAAGCUAGUACCAAACCAAAGGUCACCAGCAUAAAGGUUGGACAAGCAUGGAAAUGAGAGCCUCCUCCAGCUCUUCUUGGUUUGUUUGAUAAAUACAAGAUACAGAUAAAGCUGACAGACUCGCAGCAGCUUCAUCAGGAUUCUUCCCUCCGUUGAAAAGACUAUGAAGGACAUGCGGAGCUGGGGGCUGAAGACAGAACAUAAUAGAUACGAACUCUGCUUCAAAACAGCUCUGAGGCUUUGGAACAUCUGGCCCUGCUGGUGAAAAGGUUCAGUACAUUAAGCACCCAAAAAACCCUGAACGCUACCUCUUACCUUCACCUCAUGACACCCGAUAUCUUCAAUAUUCUAGGCUUUCCUAUAGAACAAUGACCUAAAAUAACUCGAAACUGUUGUAUUUGUUCUUGAACUGAAUAUACUAAUUAUAAUAUGCAACCAAACCCAGUGCAAA